rnacentral:rRNA from 1 species
UAAGUAAGCUUUGAUCCAGAGAUUUCCGAAUGGGGAAACCCAGCACGAGUUAUGUCGUGUUAUCUGCAUGUGAAUACAUAGCAUGCAAGAAGGCAGACCCGGAGAACUGAAACAUCUUAGUACCCGGAGGAAGAGAAAGAAAAAUCGAUUCCCUGAGUAGCGGCGAGCGAAACGGGAAGAGCCCAAACCAAUAAGCUUGCUUA